CCUACGGGAGGCUGCAGUGGGGAAUAUUGGGCAAUGGAGGCAACUCUGACCCAGCAACGCCGCGUGAAUGAUGAAGGUCUUCGGAUUGUAAAGUUCUUUUCUAAGGGAAGAAGCAAGUGACGGUACCUUACGAAUAAGCCUCGGCUAACUACGUGCCAGCAGCCGCGGUAAUACGUAGGAGGCAAGCGUUAUCCGGAAUGACUGGGCGUAAAGGGUGCGUAGGUGGUUCUACAAGUUAGUAGCGAAACUCCGGGGCUCAACAUGGGAACUGCUACUAAAACUGUUGGACUUGAGUGCAGGAGGGGCAAUCGGAAUUCCUAGUGUAGCGGUGGAAUGCGUAGAUAUUAGGAGGAACACCAGUGGCGAAGGCGGAUUGCUAGACUGUAACUGACGCUGAGGCACGAAAGCGUGGGGAGCAAACAGGAUUAGAUACCCGGGUAGUC
rnacentral:rRNA from 1 species